AUGUGGGUGUGUCCCCCCCAACCCAUGUGUGUCUUGUGCUGUCAUCAAGCAAGGGUUGGCUUUAGUGGCAGGAGAGCAUUCGCUCAUGAAAAACCCUCCAGUCUCUGUGGCAUUUUUCAACCGUCUUUAAACCUUCCCCACUCCCAUUAUUUUAUUUCAAACUGGCAGCAACCUGGUGAAGAGGCACCAGCCACUGAGAGGCAGAAGCUGGGGUGCACACGGCAGCCCACUGACCAGAGAACAUCCCCACCCAGCACAUGCGGGGUGCGGCCUUCUGUGGACCCCAGGCAUUGUGAGCCAAAGGCCUCACCAUCCUGUCCCUGGAAGCUGGACACAGAUGUUCUGGACAAGCCUGCAGGAACCCUCAAGGCAGCAGCCAGAUGUGCCAGGAGCCACAGCUGGAGGGGUGGUCAGUCCGGGGAGCAGGUGGAUGACAGACUGGGCUGCUGGGAAGCUGAAAUUCAGUGCUGUGGAACAGGCGGGGCUUCUGGGACACAGGAGGCUGGGAAUUAAUGUUAACACUGUUCUGGUGAAGACUUUCUGUGUUGAUAAAUAAUUCAUAAGGCAGUUAGCGCUCCGAGUCUGACAACACGAGAAUAUAUUAAUACAGUCGACUCCACGAAAGGUCAGCCGCACGCGGCGGGCGGGGCCGGGGCCGCCUUUUAUGCGUUCUCUGACACGGGCUCGUUCGUCAUUCCAGCCCAGCAAGGGCUGCGCCUGGAGAGCCGCUCAUGAGGGAAAGUGGGAGCAGGGCGGCGUGACACGUAGUCCGCGGGGCAGAGGGAGAGGGGCCUGAGGUGAGGCCCCCGAGACCGGAGCAGAGGGUCCCCUGCCCCUGCAGCUUGCGUGGGGCCGGGGAUGGGCGGGGAGAGUCGCACAGGGACCCCCAGCACUGCUGGCCAUCCCCAGGCGUUGGUGGUGCCCUCACUGUGGUCCAGGUGCCGCUCCAGGCCCCAAGGUCAGAGGAUUCAAGAAAACCCAGAAGUCCCUGCUCUGGUGGGGGCCACGGAGGGAGGGGCAGAUGGGAAAGAGAAGUCAGAGGUGUGGUGUGUCAGCAGAGUGCACGGAGCCAAUGAAGCCGGAAGGGGAGAGGGUGUGGCGGGGCGCCAGUGUAGGUCUGGAGGAGCAGCCUGGCCUCUUGGGGUACCUGGGGGACGGGCUCUCCUCAGGGGACCAGCAUGAAAGGGCCCCGCCCAUUGUGUG
rnacentral:lncRNA from 1 species